rnacentral:rRNA from 1 species
AUCAUGGCUCAGGAUGAACGCUAGCGGCAGGCCUAAUACAUGCAAGUCGAACGGUAACAUGAGUAGCAAUACUUGAUGACGAGUGGCGCACGGGUGCGUAACGCGUAUGCAACCUACCUUUAACCGGGACACAACAUCGAGAAAUCGGUGCUAAUAUCCCAUAACAUCAUAAAGAGGCAUCUCUUAGUGAUUAAAGCUCCGGCGGUUUUAGAUGGGCAUGCGUGACAUUAGCUAGUUGGUGAGGUAACGGCUCACCAAGGCUGCGAUGUCUAGGGGUUCUGAGAGGACAUUCCCCCACACUGGUACUGAGACACGGACCAGACUCCUACGGGAGGCAGCAGUAAGGAAUAUUGGUCAAUGGGCGCAAGCCUGAACCAGCCAUGCCGCGUGCAGGAAGACGGCCCUAUGGGUUGUAAACUGCUUUUGUACGGGAAAAAACCCCGGGUUUCGUACCUGGGCUGAUGGUACCGUAAGAAUAAGGAUCGGCUAACUCCGUG